rnacentral:sRNA from 1 species
ACAUGAAGAGAAUGAUGCAUUAUUAUCAGCCAGUUUAUGU